rnacentral:rRNA from 1 species
CAGCACCUCAAGUGGUCAGGAUGAUUAUUGGGCCUAAAGCAUCCGUAGCCGGCUCUGUAAGUUUUCGGUUAAAUCUGUACGCUUAACGUACAGGCUGCCGGGAAUACUGCAGAGCUAGGGAGUGGGAGAGGUAGACGGUACUCGGUAGGAAGGGGUAAAAUCCUUUGAUCUAUUGAUGACCGCCUGUGGCGAAGGCGGUCUACCAGAACACGUCCGACGGUGAGGGAUGAAAGCUGGGGGAGCAAACCGGAUUAGAUACCCGAGUAGUCC